CCUACGGGUGGCAGCAGUGAGGAAUAUUGGUCAAUGGACGAGAGUCUGAACCAGCCAAGUAGCGUGAAGGAUGACUGCCCUAUGGGUUGUAAACUUCUUUUAUAUGGGAAUAACAUGUUCCACGUGUGGGAUUUUGUAUGUACCAUAUGAAUAAGGAUCGGCUAACUCCGUGCCAGCAGCCGCGGUAAUCCGGAGGAUCCGAGCGUUAUCCGGAUUUAUUGGGUUUAAAGGGAGCGUAGGUGGAUUGUUAAGUCAGUUGUGAAAGUUUGCGGCUAAACCGUAAAAUUGCAGUUGAAACUGGCAGUCUUGAGUACAGUAGAGGUGGGCGGAAUUCGGGGUGUAGCGGUGAAAUGCUUAGAUAUCACGAAGAACUCCGAUUGCGAAGGCAGUUCACUGGACUGCAACUGACACUGAGGCUCGAAAGUGUGGGUAUCAAACAGGAUUAGAUACCCCAGUAGUC
rnacentral:rRNA from 1 species